rnacentral:rRNA from 1 species
GUGGGGAAUCUUCCACAAUGGACGAAAGUCUGAUGGAGCAACGCCGCGUGAGUGAAGAAGGGUUUCGGCUCGUAAAGCUCUGUUGUCGGGGACGAAUGUGCAGUAUUUGAAUAAAGUACUGCAAUGUCGGUACCUGACGAGGAAGCCACGGCUAACUACGUGCCAGCAGCCGCGGUAAUACGUAGGUGGCAAGCGUUGUCCGGAAUUAUUGGGCGUAAAGGGAGCACAGGCGGGAAGGUAAGUCGGUCUUAAAAGUGCGGGGCUCAACCCCGUGAUGGGAUCGAAACUAUCUUUCUUGAGUGCAGGAGAGGAAAGUGGAAUUCCUAGUGUAGCGGUGAAAUGCGUAGAUAUUAGGAGGAACACCAGUGGCGAAGGCGACUUUCUGGACUGUAACUGACGCUGAGGCUCGAAAGCCAGGGGAGCGAACGGGAUUAGAUACCCGUGUAGUCC